UAGUGAUCAACUAGGAAAAACACCCACGCUUUGCAGCGGAUAGAAAUCCUAAUAGUAAUUAAUAAUAAUAAAAUAUUAAAUAUUUUUUUGUGUAUCUCAUUUGAUACAUCUACCGAAAGUAUCUCACUGUAGGCGGCAGAUAAGAAUCUGACGAUGCAUUCUCCGGCGAUGGUGAUAGUAACGGCGACGACGAUCUCUCCUACUGCGGCAGAAGAGGGAAUUGGGCGCACAUUAGUGAGAGAGAGGGAGCGAGGAAAGGAGGCGAUGGUGUAUAGCUAAAGAUGAGAGAUAGAGAAUUGAUGAACAAAUUGGUAAUAAAUAAUUAGUAGUUCGGUAGAAGAAGGAAAAUGGGCUAUGAUGAAUAAUUGGAGAUAGAGAGGUUAGGAUCGUAGAUAGUAGUAUGACCAUUUAAAUAUAUUAAUUGAAAGUUUGGUAGUAGAACCAUUUACAUUAAUUGAAUGUAUAGUGGAGAAGGUAGUGAGACUAUUAAAAUGCACUAAUUGAAAGUUUGAUUAAUGGGACCGUUAAAAUGCAUAUUAAAAAUUUAGUGAACAUGAUAAAUAAUUGGAGAUAGAGAGAUUAGGAUCGUAGAUAUACUAAUUGAAAGUUUGGUAGUGGAACCAUUUACAUUAAUUGAAAGUAUAGUGGAGGAAAAGUAGUGGAAUCAUUUAAAUACACUAAUUAAAAGUUUGAUUAAUGGGACCGUUAAAAUGCAUAUUAAAAAUUUAGUAAUGAAAAGAAGAAGAGUCACAUGCUAGUGAGGGUGAAGAAAAACUUGCCACGAGGCAACAAAUAUUGAGAAUUCAUAUAGUUUAAUAGAUAGUUAAUUGUACGGUUACUCUUU
rnacentral:lncRNA from 1 species